rnacentral:rRNA from 1 species
ACUGAAACAUCUAAGUAGCUGCAGGAAAAGAAAUCAACCGAGAUUCCCAAAGUAGUGGCGAGCGAAAUGGGAAGAGCCUGUACGUGAUAGUUGGACUGAUAAUGGAAUGCUCUGGAAAUGGCAGCCACAGCGGGUGAUAGCCCCGUACAUGAAAUCAGACCAGUGGUACUAAGCGUACGACAAGUAGGGCGGGACACGAGAAAUCCUGUCUGAAUAUGGGGGGACCAUCCUCCAAGGCUAAAUACUCGUAAUCGA